GCCAGCAUGGCGUAGUGGUUUUGAGUACUGGACUACGACUCUGGAGACUAGGGUUCGAAUCCCGGCUCAGCCA
rnacentral:tRNA from 1 species